UUGGUUGUGGGGCAGUGGUUUGAGUGUUGGACUACAACUCUGGAGAUCAAGGUUCGAUUCCCCGUUCAGCCAAG